UACGAAGGGGGCUAGCGUUGCUCGGAAUCACUGGGCGUAAAGGGCGCGUAGGCGGCGCCGCUGGUCGGGCGUGAAAUCCCCGGGCUCAACCCGGGGGCUGCGCCCGAAACGGCGGCGCUGGAGGCGAGGAGAGGGCCGCGGAAUUCCCAGUGUAGAGGUGAAAUUCGUAGAUAUUGGGAAGAACACCGGUGGCGAAGGCGGCGGCCUGGCCUCGAUCUGACGCUGAGGCGCGACAGCGUGGGGAGCAAACAGG
rnacentral:rRNA from 1 species